AAACAAGGCACCUUCCAAGGUUAAUUACUUAGAAGAUACUUUUCAGAAAGGUGACCAAGACAUAUAGGGAAGAAAUUAAGGCCAAAGUCAUCCGAGGUCAGUGAUGGAUGGGGAUUUCAUUCAUUGCACGGAUGUUUCUCAAGCAUCUGCUGGGUGCCGGGCCCUGUCCCGGACAGUGGGAGACAGCGGCGAGCAGAGGCAAGUCCCGGCCUCCGUGAAGCUCCAUCCUCUGUCUGCGUCCAAAGUGGGUUCUCUGCCUCUCACGCCCCAGGCCAGGUCUGCAGGCUUCUCCCAUCACGCGGGCUGAGGCUUUAAGUGGUGAGCAGCUCUGUCUUGUGCAUGGACAGUCAAAUCCGUGGCCGGAAUUUCCCCUGCCUCUCUGCCUCUGCAUCUGAAGUUAUACCACAGCUACUCAUUCCCAUGGAUUCGAAGGCUUUUCCAUUUGGGACCCCUCCUCUUUCUCCACUCACCGUGCUCUGCCUUGGCAAAGGCUGGCAGGCCUCCGGGCUCCAUGAUUGCCAUCUUCGUCUUCCAUGGUUGUCUGACUCAUGGUGCUGCCAGAGAGAACUACACGAAAUGCACAUCUGGUCUGGUCCUCACCCCUGCUUAAGACCCUCCAUGGCUCCCAGCUGCCCUCAGGAUAAAGCCUGCACUCUCCAACCUGGCCUGCCAGGCCUAUUCUCAUGUGGGAUCCUCCUUGCCUCCAUCGUCACCUCAUUUAUCUUCUCUUUUCUCUCUCUUGCGCACCACAGUCCGUCCCUAGUGACUUACUGCAGUUGUUUCAUUAGUCCACAAGCAUUAAUUGAGCACCCACUGUGUGCUGUGUGCAGUGCCAGCAUGCCAGAAUAUAAAGAAGAGUAAGAGCCAUCCCUGAUCUUUAGAAGCCUGCAGCUCGGAGUGGAGACAGAGGAGCAGAGGGACCAUUGUGCCUCCCGUGAGUAUGGC
rnacentral:lncRNA from 1 species